rnacentral:hammerhead_ribozyme from 1 species
GUACUGCUGAAGUGUCCCAAACUAGGACGAGACAGCUGUCCAGUAC